GGAAUUGUUCGCAAUGGGCGCAAGCCUGACGACGCAACGCCGCGUGGAGGACGAAGAUCUUCGGGUCGUAAACUCCUGUCGAGCGGGAAGAAACCCGCGGGGAUGAAUAAUCCCUGCCGCUGACGGUACCGCGAAAGGACGCCCCGGCUAACUCCGUGCCACCAGCCGCGGUAAUACGAAGGGUACAAGCGUUACUCGGAAUUACUGGGCGUAAAGCGUGCGUAGGUGGUUUGUUAAGUCUGAUGUGAAAGCCCUGGGCUCAACCUGGGAAUUGCAUUGGAUACUGGCAGUCUAGAGUGCGGUAGAGGGUAGCGGAAUUCCCGGUGUAGCAGUGAAAUGCGUAGAUAUCGGGAGGAACAUCCGUGGCGAAGGCGGCUACCUGGACCAGCACUGACACUGAGGCACGAAAGCGUGAGGAGCAAAC
rnacentral:rRNA from 1 species